rnacentral:rRNA from 1 species
AGGACGAACGCUGGCGGCGUGCCUAACACAUGCAAGUCGAACGGAGUAAAGCGCUGAAAAGGAGGUAGCUUGCUACUGAAUUUCUUGUUUUACUUAGUGGCGGACGGGUGAGUAACGCGUGAGUAACCUGCCUUACAGAGGGGGACAACAGUUGGAAACGACUGCUAAUACCGCAUAAUGUAUGACCGAGGCAUCUCGGAGAUACCAAAGGAGCAAUCCGCUGUAAGAUGGACUCGCGUCCAAUUAGAUAGUUGGUGGGGUAACGGCCCACCAAGUCGACGAUUGGUAGCCGGACUGAGAGGUUGAACGGCCACAUUGGGACUGAGACACGGCCCAGACUCCUACGGGAGGCAGCAGUGGGGGAUAUUGCACAAUGGAGGAAACUCUGAUGCAGCAACGCCGCGUGAGGGAAGAAGGUUUUCGGAUUGUAAACCUCUGUUUUUAGUGAAGAAACAAAUGACGGUAGCUAAAGAGGAAGCCACGGCUAACUACGUG